rnacentral:rRNA from 1 species
CUGCUGCCUUCCGUAGGAGUUUGGACCGUGUCUCAGUUCCAAUGUGGGGGACCUUCCUCUCAGAACCCCUACUGAUCGUCGCCCCGGUGGGCCGUUACCCCGCCGGCAAGCUAAUCAGACGCAUCCCCAUCCUUUACCGGCCGAAGCCUUUGGUCAUGAAAAUAUGCAUCAACAUGACAACAUACGGUAUUAAUCCGCCUUUCGACGGGCUGUCCCAUAGUAAAGGGCAGGUUGGAUACGCGUUACUCACCCGUCGCGCCGGUCCGGCCACU